rnacentral:rRNA from 1 species
UACGUAGGGGGCAAGCGUUGUCCGGAAUCAUUGGGCGUAAAGGGCGCGUAGGCGGAUAAUUAAGUCCGGUGUGAAAGAUCAGGGCUCAACCCUGAGGGUGCACCGGAAACUGGUUAUCUUGAGGACAGGAGAGGAAAGUGGAAUUCCUAGUGUAGCGGUGAAAUGCGUAGAUAUUAGGAGGAACACCGGUGGCGAAGGCGACUUUCUGGACUGUAACUGACGCUGAGGCGCGAAAGCGUGGGGAG